GACGAACGCUGGCGGCGUGCUUAACACAUGCAAGUCGAACGGAAAGGCCCUGCUUUUGUGGGGUGCUCGAGUGGCGAACGGGUGAGUAACACGUGAGUAACCUGCCCUUGACUUUGGGAUAACUUCAGGAAACUGGGGCUAAUACCGGAUAGGAGCUCCUGCUGCAUGGGGGGGGUUGGAAAGUUUCGGCGGUUGUGGAUGGACUCGCGGCUUAUCAGCUUGGUGGUGGGGUAGUGGCGUACCAAGGCUUUGACGGGUAGCCGGCCUGAGAGGGUGACCGGCCACAUUGGGACUGAGAUACGGCCCAGACUCCUACGGGAGGCAGCAGUGGGGAAUCUUGCGCAAUGGGCGGAAGCCUGAUGCAGCAACGCCGCGUGCGGGAUGACGGCCUUCGGGUUGUAAACCGCUUUCGCCUGUGACGAAGCGUGAGUGACGGUAAUGGGUAAAGAAGCACCGGCUAACUACGUG
rnacentral:rRNA from 1 species